GUGAUCCGCCUGCCUCGGCCUUCCAAAGUGCUGGGAUUACAGGUGUGAGCCACCGCGCCUGGCCUCAGGCUUCAGUUUUGUAUUGAUUAAUAAGAGAAACAUAGUGAAGUGGAAAGAGCACUACCCUAGAAGGAAAAAGAGCUGCUUAUUCUUCUAAGUCCUCACUCUAUAACCCUGGGCAAAUUUCUGAAAUAUGGGCUUCAGUUGCCUCAUCUAUGAAGUGGGUUUAAUAAAGCCUUACAUGAUAAUAAUAAUAAUAUAAUAAUUAUAUAUUAUAAUAUGCAGUUUUUACUAAACUAAUACCAUGUCUCAGCUACUACAAUUCUUUGAGAUGGGUACUAUUAUUAUUGUUAUCUCUGUUUUAUAGAGGAGGAAGUGGAUGCUCAGAAAGAUUAAAAUAGCUUCUUCAAGUUCACAAGCUGUUAAGUGACAGACUCAGGAAUCAAGCCUCAUCUGCAGUAUUAUAGAGUCCACUGUUCUCUACUGCCUCCAAGCCACUUUACUGCUUAAUGUUGCUAGAGGGCUAACCAGAUCAUAUUUGGAGGUUUCUUCUAGCUAUAAUUUCUACUAUUUUUGAAUUCUCCCUUAUGAACUAUACUUUGCAAGCUUAUCACACAGCCUUAGCUGGUGACCUCAGUUUACUGCCAUUUAAAUGUUUAAUAUGGCCUUUUGGGGGAUGCAACUAGAGCUGACUAUAAAGAGCAGGAAGCAUGAUUUUCAAAAAUAUGUUAACGGUAUCCUUCCAUCUUACAGUUUCGAGUUCACAUCUUGAGACUUUCAUAUAUUUAGCCGUGGGUGAUUUACCUUUAAACAGUGAUAAAAGUACUCCUUGAAAUUGUAUUUGGAAGGCUUCUCUUCUGAUUUUCUUCUCUGGGUCUGCUUGCCCUCUCACCUAUGCUGUCUGUCACUCCUUGGUUGUUGGUGUUUUCAAACAAGUCCAUGACUGUUCCAGCAAAUCUGGAUAAACUGUAAAACACAAGUGGCUGAACAGUACUUUGUGUAUGUCUGCAAGACCAUGAGCUCUGUAGAUCAUAUUCCUCUGGACACUCUUGAAAGACGGAUACUAAAUCCCAGAGGAUUUUCUUUUAUGUUGUAUGUAACCUCUACCUCUGAAUGUUGUCCUUCAACCAGUGGAAGGUAAAAGAAAUUAAUAUUUAGAGGUGCUACUCUAAGAAUAGGCCAAAUGUCAGCACUGGGUCAGGACCUCUGAAGAAAUACAUCCAAGAAAAUGGGCGAGAGUAGCUCUAACUUAGAAACCACAGCAGAGUGUGACCAGAUUCUUGUGGUAAAGAUAAAAUGAGAAAUGUGGCUUUUUGAGACAUUGGAAAAUAAUGAUGAGAGAAAAACAGGAUGAAAUCUGAGAAUUUGUAUCAGAAUUGGGAACCAUUCUUCACAGGCUAAAUUGAUAGUUCCAACACUAUGGCAUCAGGGAGCUUGACUUCCACAUACUAAUAUAGAAAAGAAUAAUAUUCUGUGGUCUUGGUUGGUGGGCCCAGGAGAGCUCGCUUUUAUGAUCAAGUGUCUUGUUUUCGUUUUUUAAAGGAUGAUUUUAGUUUUUUGGUGAAGUUUUUAUGAUGACUGUUUUGGUUGCAAGGGAAAGAAGUACACAGACUACCUUUGGUUUAUUUUAAGGAUACGUGAGAAUAUGCAGCAUUCAUUUGUGAAUUAUUCAUUCACAAAUUACUUUUGGGCACCUACUCUGUGCCUGUGUGUACUAUGCAAUGGGAAUAGAGCAGUGAGCAAGACAAAUAAGGUACCUAUCUUUAUGAACCUAGUGUUUUAAUGAGGGUAAUAAUCAAUAAACAAGCAAACUGAUGGGGAUGAGAAUAGCUAAUAGUUAAUAAGCACUGUGUGCUAGGCACUGUUCUAAGCAUAUAAUAUCCAUUAUUUUAUUUAAUCUUCACAGUUCUAUAUAAACAGGGUAUUAGUAUUAUCCUCAUUUUACUCAUAAGGAAAUUCAGGCUAUAAAAGUAACAUUCUCAUGGUUACAUAGCUGGUAACUGUAACAAGACAAAUAACAAGAAAACAGCCAGAGUAAGGUAAUAUAUAGUAUGGACAGGGAAGUCCUCUUGGAAGAGAUGACGAUUGAGAGCUCAUCCCAUCAGAGAGCCAAUAACUUAGCUCAGAGGGUGAUGCACCUUUUCUUUGUCCACCUUGAUUAUCUAAGUAAGCUUCCUGUGUCCAAAAAUGAUCAUUUGAUUGAUUUUAUUUGUUGCUACUGAGAAUGGAGUACCCUUACUAGGCAGUGUUCUUAGGACCCCCUCAUGGGUAACUGGCCUCCCUCAUGCUCUGCUCCUAUUUAACCAGUGAAAGUAAAUAAAAUAAUUCAUCAUCAAAAGUAUUUGUGUUCUACACUACAUAGUAUAAAUAUGGAGAUGGAAAUCUUUGUCAGUUUUUAGAAAAGGAGCAUUAAUAAUUUCAUUUUGAUACAUGUUAAUCAUCAGAAUUAAUUUUGAUUCAAAUAAAUCCAUAAAAUAUGAACUUCAUUAAUUCAUCCUUGGAGAAAAAAAGAGAUUCCAAUAGUGCAUACCCGUUUUUUUUUUCUUUUUUCUUUUCUUUUACUUUAAGUUCUGGGAUACAUGUGUAGAACGUGCAGGUUUGUUACAUAGGUAAUAGUGCAUAUUCCUAAAUAACUUAAAACGUAACUCUAAUGAAAACAAUCCAUGAUUAUAAAAUAUGUAUCAUUUCUUGUUAUUUUUUUUUUCAGACAGGUGCUUUAAGCCCUAUGAAAAGAUGACCCACUUCUUUCCUACAUAAUCUAUAACAAUCAGGGCAUAAACAUUCAUUCUAAAGGUGACAGAUUUUUUAAGGAUCAUUCACCAUCUAGAGUUUAAAUAAUGUUGUUUGGGGUUCUUCUUGUGUCCAUGGUAACAGAGGAGCAGGUGUGAGGCAACAAGAAGCACAUCAGAACAAACCAAGACUUCGCUGAUUUCCAGCUUGUAGCUCUGAAUGAGAGAUGGACUUGAGACUUCUUUGGGCCAUUUCUGCUCAUGUUUUCUCUACUUAUUUACGUUAAAUUGAGCCAAAAUGUGGUGUGGUAAAGUAAUGGUGACUAAUCCUAUUAUAGACUUCUUCAAAAGGGGUAAUGCUUCCCCCUUUACCCACCCCCUCCCCUGACUUUUUUCCAUAGUUCAGUUCUUAGCUGUUAAACAUUGUAACAGAAAAUUACCCGUUUCUCAUUGUCAGCAUCUGGUUUCCCACAGACUCAGAUAAUUGUCAGGAAGAGAUUUGCCUUCAGUUAAAGCAACCCUAUCCCCACUGUUACUAGGCCAGGCACCUCUGUUAGACCAUCAUAGAACCAAAUCUAUAGAGGAUUCUUUCUGGCUCUUUUCUGUAUUACUAGAGGUAUGCUAUAGCAAAAAGACUACAGGGAGCCAUGGUGGUGAGUUAAGAGUCAAAAUCUGUUUUGAAACUUAAAAAUCCAGGGUCAUUGAGGAUGCAAGAAGUUGCCUGUUUUUGUAGAAUCCAUCUCACUUCUUCAGUCCCUUUGUAUUAUGGUUACAGGAAACUAUCCAGCAGCACUUGACCUGGUAAUGGAGGAAGCUAUUUCACAGCCCACUGGUCCCUUGACUCGUUUAGAAGUCAGAGUCAAAGGUUACAGAAGUAAUAAUUGGGCCCAGAUUCUCCCUGUCAGGAAAGACCUUGUUCCCCCCACCCCACCCCCUGCCUUCUACAAGUUAAGAGAAACUUAUCUGUUAUAAAACCAUUCAAUAAGAGGAAAUGAAGAAACACCAUCCUUGGCUGAAGUGUUCUCAAGCCCCAAUGAUACUAUUUCUGUUUUCAUGGGAGCUGCUUUUGCAGCUAGCUAGUAUAAAAUUUAGGUCUGAUUUUUUACAUUAAAAUAUCUCCCCUUAGAUAAAUAACUUGAUUUAUUUCAAUCUAUAAAUAAUAUGAAGGAUCUUUAUUUGGUCCAAGCCCUGAUAUUCCUUCACACCACCACUCUGAUAAUUCCCUGAAUACUUGUCUGGCAAUCAAGUACACUCACACGAGUCUUAAUUAACAAGUGUUAUGCCAUUAGCAAUGUAAAGUCAGUCAUCAAAAGUUAAGAAACUAGGCCAGAUUAUAGGCUCACACCUAUAAUCCCAGCACUUUGGGAAGCCAAGGUGGGAAAAUCACUUGAGGCCAGGAGUUUGAGGCCAUCCUGGGCAACACAAUGAGACCCCUGUCUCUACAAGAAGAAUAAGAAGUUUAAAAAGCUUUACUUCACCAGCAACAGAACAAUUUAAAAUUUUCAGUGCUUUUAAUUUCUUCCAUAAUUUGCUCAGAACUCUAGCAGAUCAAUCUGUGGUGCCAUUGGCACAGGCUUGGCACUGGAGUAGGAAAGAAUGACACAAUUUGGCACCUUUAACCAGAAGAUCUUUAAUGAGCUGGCGUGGGGGUGGAGGGGACAGAGAGGAAGGAAGGACAGUUAGGAUUUUGGCAGUAACACAAAGGUUCUUCUUCCCUGAGAAAAGUGAAAUGAAAGUCAAAUGAAGCUUCACUCUGCUUUUAGAAUUUGCUAAGAUGUUUGUCUGUCUCUCAGCUCCCGGCCCCCUUGCAGGUGCAUCAUUAUAGUCAGUGACUUCUCCAAAAAACAAAUUGUCUCUCAGGAUCCUUCAGGAGGGGUCAUAUCUAACCAAUUUCUUGUCUGAGGACAUAAUUGUGAUUCCCUUCUUCAACUAUCAGAUGCAAUGCUACCAGCACUGCAGAAACUGUCUUAUCAGAAAGUGGCACAAAUGUGUACAUUUCUUCUAGGUCACAGUUCUAGUAUUGCUGAGUUCUGGGGCUGCAACAAUAGAUAAUACUACAAUGAGAGAUGUUUGGGAAAAGCAUUGUUUCCUGGGUGGCCGUAGAAGCAGACUUGAAAUCAUCCCUUUGUCAUUAAAUAAUAUCAACAACAAAUGUCUUUGUUGAUGUCAUUGUAUUGUAAUUUUCUAGGUCUAGAUUAUUGCUAGGGAUGAUAAUACCUAUCUUCUAGGGUUGUUAUGCAAAUCACAUGAAAUUACACAUGCAAGAUGUCUGGCUAUAUAUAAUUCAUCUUCAUUGUGUGUUGUUCUCCUUAAGCUCCACUUUUCUGGGAUUUUUGUAUCUCUGUGGAUCUGGAUAGUCUUCCUUUUCUCUCUCUUUAAAUGGCAUCAGAGUUGAAGAUCUUGAGGACUUUUUAGUCUCUCUUUUGUUUUUUGUUGUUGUUGUUGUUACUGGUUUGUUUUUGUUUUUGUUUUUUUGUUUUUGUUUUUUUUUUUUGAGAUAGUGUCUCACUCUGUCACCCAGGCUGGAGUUGUAGCACAAACAUGGCUCAUUGCAGCCUUAACCUGGGCUCAAGCAAUCCUCCUGCCUCAGCUUCCCAUGUAGCCAUGACCACAGGUGCGUGCCACCAUACCCAGCUAACUUUUUUUUUUCUUUUUUAUAGAGACGGGUCUCAUUUUAUUGCUCAAACUGGUCUUGAACUCCUGGGCUCAUGUUAUGCUCCUGCCUCAGCCUCCCAAAAUGCUAGAAUUACAGGUGUGCGCCACUGUACCUGGCCUCUCUUACUUUCUAUAACACUUCUUUCUUGCCCUGUAUUUUGUGUACGUUUUUGGAGACUAAAACAUUCAAUGAUUGCCUGCAUGACUCUUAACCACUUCACUCAUCAUUUAGUUCAUUCACAGAAUAGCCUAAGAAAGCUUUUCUAUCUUUGUUUUCUUUGCAUAUGCCAUUUUCUCACUUCCUGUCUUUACCCCCUUUCCUCUAGAUACAGAAUUUUAAAACUCAAGGUGUAGUGGGAGACUUGAGUCAGUCAACUCUAUCCAACUUGUGUUGUUCCCACUCUUAGCUCUAGCAGUACAGUGAUGGGCUCAGGGUAAUGAAAAGCAGACUUUCUCUGCUGAGGUCAUUGCUCCUCAUGCUGGCAGCCUGCUCCAGGAAGCUGUUUAUCUAUGCUUGCAGAGCCAAGCUCCAGCCUCUGAACAGUUGGAAUGUAUUGAGAAACCACAGAGCCCAAAGAGAGAACAUUACACAGGCAGUUCCAGGCAGGGAGAGUAUAUUUACACCAGACAAACUGCAGCUUACAUGUGUGGGGAUAAUUGUUCAUCUGCACACUCUCAUACUUUACCUUCUAUGCAAUCUAUAUACCCUCUCAAGAAGGUUUAACCAGGAGAACUUGUACUGCUAUGUCCAAAUUACCCUGAACAUCCCCUAAAAUGUCAUAAGGAAAAAGAGAUACUACAGAAAAUUGAUGUAAAAACUUUUUAAGAUAGUGGUUUUUUUGUUUUUCUGAGUCAAAUUUUAUGUUUAGAAUCUUAGACCAUGUAAGCCUGAUCACUAAAGCAUUCAAAAACACUGUUUCUUGCAUGGAAAUGUUUUUCUUCAUCCCUUUACAAAAAUAUUAAGUAUUGUUAUAGAGCUUCAAAUGUGCUCUAUAUUAAUAGGAAUAUAAGAUAUGGUCACUUCCCUGUAAGAUGUAAUCUGGUUAAAGAGGUAAAACUCAUUGAAUAACGAACAAUUACAGAGCAAUACAAGACCUUAUAUAAUGGCAUUAAGUUAUAUGGCCCAGUACACUGAGAAUUGAGAGUAAGGAAAAAUAAUGGCUAUUAGUUAAGUAAAAUUAGUUGAGUCUUAUAGAGGAGUUUGUCUUAAUUUUGGAAAGGAAGGUAGAGUUUGGAUAAACAAAACAGAAAGGAGACAUAUUUUGCAACAUGAAAGCACCAUAACAUAGUGGUUAAGAACAUGGACUUUGGAAUCAGAUAGGUCUAUGUUAGAGGGCCUGCCACUUUCUGGUAUGAGAUCUUGGGCAGAUUGCUUACCUCAUCUAUAAAAUAGGGAGACUCAUAUAUAAAAUAUAAAAUUCCAUGUUACAUAAUUGUUGGAAUGAUUAAAUGAGUUAAUGAAAGUAAAGUGCUUGGCAUUUCACUUAAGAUACAAUAAGUGUUGAAUUAAUUAGUAGCUACUGCUACUACUGUUGUUCACUCAUUCAUUCAAUAUAUAUUUAUUGAGUGCCUACGUCUUAGCGUUCUAGAUACUAGGGAUAUAGCAGUGAAAAAAACAGACCAGAAAUUUCAACUCUUAUGGAGCUUCCAUUCUGAAAUUGUUUUCAUUUUACCUUUUUAGAAUGUGUGUGAAUAAUUUUGGACUUACAUAAAGUUUAAAAAAAUCUAUAUAUGGAGUUCCCACAUCCAUUUCAUACAGCUUCUACUAAUGUUAACAUUUCCUGUAUCCAUAAUAUAACUGCCAAAAUCAAGAACUUAACAUUAAUUCAAAACUAUUAACUAAUCUAUACGUCUUAUUUACAUUUUCACCUCAUUUUUGAAGGGCAGUUUUUUUCCUGAGAUAAAUUCUAGGUUGGCAGCUGUUUUACCAUUCCAUUAUCUUUUGGUUUCUACUGACUUUGUUGAGAAGUUGCUCUCAGUUUUAUUCUUGCUUCUUUGAAAAUAAUCUUUUUUUAAAUCUCUGGAUGGUUUUUGGAUAUUUCUACUUGGUCUUUGGUUUUUGAUAGUUUUAGUGUAAUGUGUCUAGUUUUGCUUUUCUUUAUAUUUAAACUAUUCGGUGUUCUUAGUGCUUCUUGAACCUAUAGCUUGAUAUCAUUUAUCAGUCCUGGAAAACUCUCAAUAAUUAGCUCUUCAAAUUUACUUCUGUUCUACUCUCUCUCUGUCUCUGUCUCUUUUUUUUUUUUGAGGCAGGAUCUCUGUCUGUCACCCAGGUUGGAGUGCAGUGGUGCAGUCAUGGCUCACUGCAGCCUCUACCUCCUGGGCUCAGGCAAUCCUCUUGCCUCACUCAGCCUCCCAAGUGGCUGGGACCACAGUUGCACGCCACCACACUCAGCUAAUUUUUUUUUUUUUUUUUUUAGAGAUAGGGUCUUGCCAUCUUGCCCAGACUGGUCUCAAACUCCUGGGCUCAAGUGAUCCUCCUGCCUCGCCCUCCCAAAGUGCUGGGAUUACAGACAUGAGCCAACACGACUGGCCUCUACCCUCUCUUUACUCCUAUUGGGAUUCUAAUUACACAAACAUUAGACCUUUUCAUAGUAUUCUCUGUCUCUUAUGCUCUUUUUUGCAUUUUCUAUCAUUUUGUGUGGUUUUUUUUUUUUUUUUUUUUUUGAGACAGAGUCUCACUCUGUCACCCAGGCUGGAGUGCAGUAGCACUAUCUUGGCUCACUGCAACCCAGGUUUGCCUCCCAGGUUCAACCCACUCUGCCUUCCUGGUUCAAGUGAUUCUUCUGCCUCAGCCUCCUGAGUAGCUGGGAUUACAGGCGCCCACCACCGUGGCUGGCUAAUUUGUGUUUUUAGUAGAGAUGGGGUUUCACCAUGUUGGGCAGGCUGGUCUCAAACUCCUGACCUCAAAUGAUCUGCCUGCCUCGGCCUCCCAAAGUGCUGGAAUUACAGUCAUGAGCCACCAUGCCCAGCCCAUCAUUUUGUAGUUUAUGCUUUAUUCUGGAUAUUUUCUUCUGAUCUAUUUUCCAGGUCAUUAAUUCUCUCUUCAUUUCUGUGUAAUUUACUAUUAAACCCAUCUACUGAGUUCUUAAUUCUAAUUAUUGUAUUUUUUUAGUUCAAGUAUUUUUAUUCAGUUUUUGUUUGUUUCCUUGCUAAAUCUUGUCUUUCAUUUGCUUGAACAUAGUAAAUAAAGCAUGGUUAUUACAAAGUCCAUAAUUUAUUGUCUGGAUACCCUGUGGGUCUGUUUCUGUUUUCUGUCCUAUCCAUUUUUUUUUUACUCCAUUAUCUUAUCUUGUGUUAUACUUUUUUUUUUCUCUAGUUGAGUUAUGUAAAUUGUGUAUGAGUUAUGUAAAUUGAAAAACUAUACAGAUAAUGUGAGGCCCAGAAUGAUGUUAUCUUUCUUCGGAGGGGAUUUAUAUUUGCUUUUGGCAGAUGGCCUGGGCACUAGCAAUCCUGGAUUACCUCAAUCCCAUGAGGGUUUGAAAGGAUUUGAAUAUAGAUUUACAUCUCAGGGAGGGCUGAUUUUCAGUAUAGCUCUGAGGAGUGCCAAAAGAGCUUUAGGGUUUACCAGAGUCCCAGCCCCCAACGUGGGUGGGUCCUGAACUCUAUUUUUUUUUUCUUUUCUUUUUGAGACUGAGUCUCACUCUGUCGCCCAGGCUGGAGUGCAGUGGAAUGAUCUUGGCUCACUGCAACCUCUGCCUCCCGGGUUCAAGUGAUUCUCCUGCCUCAGCCUCCCAAGUAGCUGGGAUUACAGGCCUGCGCCACCAUGCCAGGCUAAUUUUUUGUUUUUAGUAGAGACGGGGUUUCACCGUGCUGGCCAGGCUGGUCUCGAACUCCUGACCUGGUGAUCUGCCCGCCUUGGCCUCUCAAAGUGCUGGGAUUACAGGUGUGAGCCACCGCGCCCAGCCAACUCUGAUUUUUUAUCUGCAAGCCCUAACAGUCAUUUGAAAACUCAGGAACUUAACAUUAAUUCAAAAUUAUUAACUGCUUAGUGUAUCAGUUGAAUCUUCCAGAACUGGCAGAGGCCCCUAGAGCUACCAGUGAUAUAAUAAUACCUUAUUUCUGAAGUGGUGAUAAGUAUAAAUGAUAUUGUGAGAUAUCUGGUAUGACAGUAAUGUUAUAUGAAAAUAUCUGAGGUUUCUUUUUUUUUAUUUUAAAGUUUUUUGUAAAGAUUUGGUCUUGCUAUAUUGCCCAGGCUACUCUCAAACUCCAGUCCUCAAGUCAUCCUCCUGCCUCAGCCUCCUAAAGUGCUGGGAUUACAGGUGUGAACCACUGUGCCUAGCCAAUAUCUGAGAUUUCUAUUAUUGAAAGAGUCACAGGUACUGUUAAUUCUGCUAUGCUUAUAUUCAUAAUAGAAGGAAAUGCCAAAUUCCAGUUAGAGGUUAGUAAAAAUAAACAUAAAAAUUUCCCUGGCUCAUGCCUCCCAGCACUUUGGGAGGCUGAGCAAGCAGAUCACAAGGUCAGGAGAUCGAGACCAUCCUGGCUAACACGGUGAAACCCCGUCUCUACUAAAAAUACAAAAAAAUUAGCUGGGCGUAGUGGCAGGCUCCUGUAGUCCCAGCUUCUCAGGAGGCUGAGGCAGGAGAAUGCCAGGAACCCAGGAGGUGGAACUUGCAGUGAGCCAAGAUCACACCACUGCACUCCAGCCUGGGCAACAGAGCAAGACUCCAUCUAAAAAAAAAAAAAAAAAUUUCCCUAUCCAAGUGUGUGGAUCUCUUGAAUUUAAUCCAUGGACCCUUCUGUUUAGAAACCCUACACAUUGGGAAAAGUGGCACUAAAUGCUCAGCUCACCUUUCUCGGUUUUAUUCUCUCAUAACUUGGCCUUGUCAUUCUUCAUUUGCCUUGGUGGCUCUCUGAUGACUUCAGACAAUUGUCUUUAAUAAUUUAUCCAUUUUUUUCUCAGCCAGAAGAGUUAGUCUGAAUUACCUACUCUACUUUUAUUGGAGGAAGAACUCUUUUAAAACUUGCAUUCUGAUGGAACAUAUUAAUAAUUAGUUGAAGUAGAAAAUAUCAUACACUGCAAGGGAUCAUAAAGGAAUCUAAUUUGACUCAUGGAGGACUAGUACAAGCUUCAGUGUGAUUCCCCAGGAAAAUCUUGGAAAUUGCCAAUAGAGAAGAUGUAUUACUAAGUAUCAGAAGUUUUCUUGGAAGGACAUCUAAUAAGUUUCCCAAGAUGUGAUUCUGCCUGUUCAGUAGUUGCUUGAGUGCUGAUGAAAUUCCCCCCAAACACUUCCUAAUAUAUUAUUGAAAUAUUUGAGAUAAAGGAAAGCUGAACAUAUUAAAACUAAUUUUUAAGUGGUGA